GCCUGGGAGGCUCAGUGGUUGAGCUUCUGCCUUUGGCUCAGGGUGUGAUCCCCACCUGUGGGAUCGAGCCCCACAUCAGGCU
rnacentral:tRNA from 1 species